rnacentral:lncRNA from 1 species
ACGAAAGUAGAAUUCUCAGUUCAAUUCAAAGUAAUAAACAAUUAUGGUUCAUAUUUGUUGAAUAAACGUGUUUGUCAAGUUAAUGGAAUUAACGGAAUAUAUAUUUAACAGUUUAUAAACGAUUUGAAACAUACUUGACGGUGAUUUGUCACAAUAUCCACAGGAGCAGUUUUGUCGUGGCAACCAUUUGCAAUAGACAGUCGAGGAAGAGAAAGUAAACGGGAGGGUCCAGAUUAUUUCCGGAAAAUAUGAAUGUCUGAAAAUUCAAUCCAAUAGACUUUACAGUAAAUAUAAUUGCGAAUGUGAUCCAGAAUAGACUCGAUACAUGUCUCUUGUCCCUAAGACGUCACCAAAUACAAAACAAUUAAGUAUAUGUUAAUUCUCCAACACGAAGACUUGACCGAAUUUAAAAGUUUGAAAUAAAAACAAAUUCUCAUCAAAAUUAUUUUUCUAGAUCUCAUUAGUUCUAAAAUAUUUAUAAGAAUUACAAAAUCAUAUACCAGAACCAUGUAUCGAACCCUUCUCCCCCUUCCAUUGUCCUCAUUUAUAUAAAGUCAAAUAACAUUGUUUGUACUUAAAGCGUGCCAAGAGGUAUGGGUGUAAACAGACCAAGAAAUAAACUCAGAGUUAACAGUACGUCAGUACUUUUAUUGUCGUCUCGUUUUCACUUUUAAUAUGUUCUCUUCCUGUUUUCAUUACUAAUCGUGAUGUGGCCUUUAAAGCAGCAAGGCGAUUUGUCUAAAAUACUGCUCAGAAAGGUAAAUAUGAUAAGUUUUAUGACAGCAUGAUAAUUUUCCCUCAUUAUGCUAAGAUAUUUUUUUCCAUCUUUUAAGAAAUGUGAUUCAAUGCCUUUUCAAACCGUGUGAAAAUUGGAAUUUUAAAAAUAUAUUAUUUUCAAAUAAUUUUGUAGAAAAACUAAACAUAGUAAGGUCAUUACUCGAAAUUGUAAAACUUAUAUCAAUGAAAUAAAUAAUUUUAAUUAAUGUUUUUACAAGAACAUAAUCACAAUGAAAAUCAGGAAGAAUUCAUUGACGACAAGGAAAAGAAUGAAAUAUUUUGCUGAAGCCUGUCCAAUCUGAAACGACAGAAAUCAAGAUUUAAGUUCAUAUUUCUUAAAAAUGUCUAGACCCUGUCAAAUACUGUAUAGUAACAUGAUUGUCAAGACUUUUUUAUUUAUCAACAUGUGUUUUACUUUACUUCAUGACAUAUUUUGUUAAAGAGCUAUUUCCCGGAGAAGCGGAAACCUCUCAUCCUACACGUAGUAAAAUGUACUAGGAAGACGGC